AGAAAUAUGAGAAUGAUCACAAAUAUAUCUCAAAUACAUCUCAAUUCAAUCUUAAUUUAAUCUUAGUUAAAAUCCUAUUGGACUUCAUUCAAACUUUAGGCCAAAAACUAAUUAAAUCUUAAAUUCUAAAUAAAUCCUAAUAAAAUCCUAAAUCCUAAACCAAAUCCUAAGAAAAUCCUAAAUCAAACCAUAAACAAAUCUUAAAUCCUAAACCAAAUCCUAAAUCCAAACCAAAUCCUAACCAAAUCCUAAUCAAAUCCUAAAUCAAACCCUAACCAAAUCUUAACCUAAUCCUAAAUCUUAAAUCAAACCUUAAUCAAACUUUAAAUCCAAAAUCAAACCCUGAACUCCAUAAAUAAAUCCUAAACUCUAAACCAAAUCCUAAAUCCCAUAAAUAAAUCCUAAACAAAUCCUAAUCCUUAAUCAAAUCCUAACCAAACUUUAAUACUAAAUCAAAUCCUAAAUCAAAUCCUAAAUCCUAAAUCAAAUCCUAAUCCUAAAUCAAAUUCUAAUCAAAUACUAAUCAAAUCCUCAUUCUAAAUCAAAUUCUAACCAAAUCCUAAUCCUAAUCCUAAACUCUAAACCAAAUUCUAACCAAAUCCUAAUCCUAAAUCAAAUCCUAACCAAACUCUAGUAAUUUCUACAACAAUAUUAAACCUCAAUAACCAAUGAAUGAACCAUUGAUCUUAACUAAAAUUUUGUAGACUUCUUAAAAACUAAGUUAAAAACAAGUACAAAUUUUUUGAAAAGGAUCGGAAUUACCAAAUAGACAAUAACCUCAAAAACAUGUUCGGGUAUUGGCCGGCCUCCUUCUCCAACCUUAAUGCCAAUCUCCUAGAGCCAAUAUCGUUUUUAUCCACCAUUCGAUUGAUUUCAAAAUUCUUAUACAUAUAGAAAAACAAGUCUUAUAUUCUUUCACACAAAUUUCAUUCUAAUCCAACUAAUAGAUUGCAAGAAAUCUUAAAAAUUCUCACUCAACUUAAAAUUCUACUUUUUGAGACCUUUACUUACUUAAACCUCAAUAAUCCUCAAUUCAACCAUUAGAUCAAGCUAAGAUUCACAACACAUAUUAAGCACAACUAUGACCAUUAACCUACGAAAUUUCAUCCAUAAAUCUAUUACAAAACUCUUGAAAUCAUCCAAAAAAUAAACCCUAUUUUAUUUCACAAAAUCCAAGUCAUUCAAAAAAAACUUGACUUUGCAAAGCUCUUACAAAGUUAAUAGAGAUCCUAUUCAUCCAAAACCAAUGCUUAUUGAAACCUUAUUAAGUCUAUUCUCUAACCUCACUCUUCGAUCUGCAAAAGAAUUUUGAAGUUGUCGUCAAGACUCGGUUUUGUGCCUCGGGGACUGAUUUCGACCCUGGUUCAUAACCGAUCCUCUUUGGGUAUCAAUAUCUAGUUUUUCUAAAUAAUUUUUGAUAUAAUUUAUUCUUAACUUCCUCCUUAAGAUGCUCAUAUCAUUUAUUUUUUCAAUCUACUUUGUUUUGCCUUAUUUAUGGCCCUACAAAAUAAGUAGAAGUCACUUUUUUAAAAUGAUAGUAUUACUACUAAAAGUUUUACUACCUCCCUAUCUUUUAUCCAUAUUUUUCUACUUUAUCUUUUAACUUGGUUCUUCUAUAAUAAGAUCCAUAUUAUCAUCUUUCACCAUAUAGUCUUAUUACAACAUGACAACAGUCUCUAUUAUAGUUGGAGAAACUCGUUUUCUAACACAUUAUCUUCUGUGGUAAUUAAGCUCCUUAUUUUGUAAUUGCGUUGUUUUUUUGGACAUUGUUGAGUAGUAUGCUUAGCUUCUCUAUAAUAUAAAUACACAUCCUCUUAGCAAUGUCAAGCCUUUUUCAGCUUUGUGAGAGUUAUAAAAUGUAUUGUAUUAAUUUGUAUUGGCUCCAGCCUUGAUGAAUACAUUUUCAGCAAACUUGGAAGUUGUCGCCAUUACUUGACUUGUUCCACUCAUGCCAAGUCUUUGUUCUUGAUGCCUUUCAAACAAUCAAUUGUCGCAUGUAAUGGCCUAAAUAAUAAAUUAUUCCAAAAAAAAUUCUUUUGACAUUGUUAAUAAGAAAUCUUUGACACUAUCCUUCAAUCCAUAUUAAAAUUGAUUGAUAAGUGCUUUGUCAUUCUAGUCCACAUCGCAAGCAAGGUUUUUGAAUUCAAUAGCAUAUGUAGUGCUUGAUCAUGUUCCUUAUUAUAAAGAUAAGAGUUUGGUCUUUGCUCCUCAUUUUAGAUCACUUUUUCCAAAUGUGGCUGUAAAUACUUUUAAGAAUGAAUUCAAAUCAUGAAAGAGUUGCAAAUCAUUUUUUUAUUAAAAGUGUAAACCAAGAAAGAGUACUUUCUGAUAGAAGUGCACCUAUGAAUCCAACUUGAAUAAAUCCAUCAAGAUAUUGGAAAGGGUACAACUUUAGAUAGAGCUUGAUUUGUUGUAAAAAGCCUCAAAAUUUUGAUCUUGUUCUAUUAUACUUCUUAGGCAUACUAAUCCUUGUACCUAUCAUACAUAUAAAAAAAAAUUCCCUAAAUUUGAUUGUGAGGUCGAUCAACUUGCUUCUUUCACUUACACAACUUCUUAUUGUAGACUUUGAAUUUCUUCCAUUGGCAUAGGAAUAGUACUUCUAUAAUUCACGUUGGAAAUAUGUGAGAUUUCCACUUUUAGAAUUUUAACAAGCUUGUUAAGAACUACAAUAGUUACAAAUCUAUUCUUAUUUCUAUUAAGAGUAGUAUUUAUAAUUUUUCCUUCCAUAGGCAACUCAAACAAAUUCAAAAAAUUAAACUAGAAGAGGGUAAUCCACAAUCUCCAAUAAAAAAUUUCCACAAAGAAGAAUACUCCACUCUCUUUAAGGAAAAGAUCAGAGUUAGAAAAUAAGAUUUUUUGUCUAAAGGUGGAUAGUCCGCAACCUUCAAAAUACAACAAUAGAAGUAGAAUAAUCCACUCACUUCUAAAAUAAGAUAGAAAUAGUAUAUUAGCACUCUUUUCAAACUGUCAAGGACAUGAAUCUUGAAAAAAGAGAAUCUCCAAUUCACUCUUGUGGCACUCAAGAGAACUAUAAAGUCAUUCAAAAGGUAAUAUAAUAUUAAUUAUAAUCACUAUUGCUAAAAAUAAGAAAACUAAAAAGUCUUGUAAUAAGACUAAAGACUAGAAUGGCAUUGACAAGAGUGAAGAAGGCUUCAUACUUGCCUCCAUAUAAUCUUAAUUAGGGGCUACAUAGUGAUAUUCUAUAGGAUCUCCAACAUGUGUUGACUUUGUUAGCCAUAUGUCUUAACUUUCAAGGCAAGUUAUCUAUGUAUGCGCCACAUGGUUAACUUGUUCUACAAGCUAUUAUAUAAAGUUAACUUCUUCCACAAGCUAUUAACACGUGGUGAAAUAUUGGCCAAGUUUCCAACCUAUAAACACAUCUAAAGUCAAAACGACAUCUACGAAGCUUUUAAGAAGCUAGUCUAGAAGAUAUUAUGAAAUUUAUCUAUGUUUAUCUACUACUUUUUAAUCAUAUAAGUAAUUAUUGAAGUAAAUCUAUAUGUCAGUGAGACUAGGAUGGCUAUUGCUUAAGACAAAAAAACUAGAAAGUCUUGAAAUAAGUCUAAGAAUUAAAAAAUUGUUAAGAAUGAAGUAGGCUUUAUUCUUGCCUCUGUAUAUACUAUCUAAUUAAGUGCUACAUGAUGAUGUUUUAUAGAACCUUCAAUAUGUAUUAAAUUUGCAAGAUACAUGACUUAAUUUAUAAGAUAAGUUCUCUAUUUGCACGCUAUCCUAAUAUGUGAAGUCUUGCUUGAGAAUGCUUUAGACACUUGAUUGUCGAAGGUAGAAUGGAAAUUGCAAUAACAAAAUCUUAAUUCUAAUAAAACACUAACUAAACUCUAAUUAGACCAUAACAAUGCUAAGCAAGCUUUAAUCAAUUCAAAGAAACCUUUAAGGAAUUAUAAAGAAACAAUGAGAAAUCUUAAAGAAAUAUUAGAAUGAUCAAAAAUAUAUCUCAAAUAUAUCUCAAUUCAAUCUAAAUUUAAUCCUAAUUAAAAUCCUAUUAGACUUCAAUCAAACUUUAGGCCAAAAACUAAUUAAAUCUUAAAUCCUAAAUAAAUCUUAAAUAAAUCUUAAUUCUUAAAUCAACUCCUAAUUAAAUCCUAAUUCUAAACCAAAUCUCAACCAAAUUCUAAAUCCUAAAUCAAAUCCUAACCAAAUCCUAAAUUCUAACUCUUAAAUCAAUUCUUAACCAAAUCCUAAACCUUAAACCAAAUUCUAACCAAAUCCUAAAGUUUAAACCAAAGUCUAACCAAAUUCUAAACCCUAAAUUUAAUCUUAAAUCCUAAACCAAAUCAUAACCAAAUCCUAAACCCUAAAUCAAAUCCUAACCAAAUCCUAAACAAAUCCUAAAUCCUAAACUAAAUCUUAAUCAAAUCCUAAACACUAAACUAAAUUCUAAAUUAAAUCUUAACCAAAUCUUAAACUCUAAAUCAAACUCUAACCAAAUCCUAAACCAAAUCCUAACCAAAUCCUAAAUCCUAAAUCAAAUCUUAACCAAAUCCUAAACCUUAAAUCAAAUUCUAAUCAAAUCUUAAACUUUAAAUCAAAUCCUAACCAAAUCCUAAAAAAAUCUUACAUCCUAAACGAAAUCUUAAUCAAAUCCUAAAUCCUAAACUAAAUUCUAACCAAAUCCUAAACUAAAUCUUAACCAAAUCCUAAAUCCUAAAUCAAAUCCUAACCAAAUCUUGAAUAAAUCCUAAAUCCUAAAUCAAAUCUUAAUCAAAUCCUAAACCUUAAAUUAAAUUUUGACCAAAUCCUCAAAUCAAAUCUUAACCAAAUCCUAAAUCCUAAAUCAAACUCUAACCAAAUCUUAAACCCUAAAUUAAAUCCUAAUCAAAUCCUAAUCAAAUCCUAAACAAAUUUUAAAUCCUAAAUCAAAUCUUAACAAAAUCUUAAAUCCUUAAUCAAAUCCUAAUCAAAUAUUUAAUUCUAAACUUUAAACCCUAAACCAAAUCCUAACCAAAUUCUAAAUCUUAAAUCAUAUCCUAACCAAAUUCUAAUCCUAAAUCAAAUCUUAACCAAAUCCUAAACCUUAAACCAAAUCCUAAUCAAAUCCUAAAUCCUAAACCAAAUUCUAACCAAAUUCUAAAUCCUAAACCAAACACUAACCAAAUACUAAACUCUAAAUCAAAUCCUAACCAAACUCUAAAUCCUAAAUCAAAUCUUAAUCAAAUCCUAAACCAAAUUCUAAUCAAAUCUUAAUCAAAUUCUUAACCCUAA
rnacentral:lncRNA from 1 species